GCCGGCGUGGCGGAACUGGCAGACGCGCUGGACUCAAAAUCCAGUGAUCGCAAGAUCGUGUGGGUUCGAGCCCCUCCGCCGGCACCA
rnacentral:tRNA from 1 species